CCCUUAGAUGUUCUGGGUAGCACGCGCGCUACAAUGGUCUUCGCAAACGGAUGCAUUCUCGAAGGAGAAUGCCAAUCUUGGAAUCUAUGCCUUGGUCGGGACAGUUGCUUGCAAUUUUUCGACUCGAACCAGGAAUUCCUUGUAAUCGUGAUUCAUCACAUCACGAUGAAUACGUCCCUGCCCUUUGUACACACCGCCCGUCGCUCCUACCGAUCGAAGAGUUAGGUGAAUUGUUUUGAUCGAUAAGAUUUGACUAUGGUCAACUCUCGUUGUGAAAUUCUGUGAAUCUGACUGUUUAGAGGAAGGAAAAGUCGUAACA
rnacentral:rRNA from 1 species